rnacentral:sRNA from 1 species
CAGCGACAGCGCGUCGAGAAUGCACAAC